AGAGUUUGAUCCUGGCUCAGAUUGAACGCUGGCGGCAGGCCUAACACAUGCAAGUCGAGCGAGAAAGCACUUCGGUGCGAGUACAGCGGCGGACGGGUGAGUAACGCGUAGGAAUCUACCUGGUAGUGGGGGACAACUUGUGGAAACGCAAGCUAAUACCGCAUACGCCCUAUGGGGGAAAGCGGGGGAUCUUCGGACCUCGCGCUAUUGGAUGAGCCUGCGUAAGAUUAGCUAGUUGGUGGGGUAAAAGCUCACCAAGGCGACGAUCUUUAGCUGGUCCGAGAGGACGAUCAGCCACACUGGAACUGAGACACGGUCCAGACUCCUACGGGAGGCAGCAGUGGGGAAUAUUGGACAAUGGGCGCAAGCCUGAUCCAGCCAUGCCGCGUGAGUGAAGAAGGCCUUAGGGUUGUAAAACUCUUUCGCUAGGGAAGAUAAUGACGGUACCUAGUAAAGAAGUCCCGCUAACU
rnacentral:rRNA from 1 species